UGGUGGAGUGAUUUGUCUGGUUAAUUCCGUUAACGAACGAGACCUCGACCUGCUAAAUAGGUCGCAGAACUUUCUAGUUCUCGCGGGACUUCUUAGAGGGACUAUCGGUUGCAAACCGAUGGAAGUUCGAGGCAAUAACA
rnacentral:rRNA from 1 species